GACGAACGCUGGCGGCGCGCCUAACACAUGCAAGUCGAACGGAGCUGAGAGAAGCUUGCUUUUCUUAGCUUAGUGGCGAACGGGUGAGUAACGCGUGAGUAACCUGCCCUGGAGUGGGGGACAACAGUUGGAAACGACUGCUAAUACCGCAUAAGCCCACGAUCCGGCAUCGGAUUGAGGGAAAAGGAUUUAUUCGCUUCAGGAUGGACUCGCGUCCAAUUAGCUAGUUGGUGAGGUAACGGCCCACCAAGGCGACGAUUGGUGGCCGGACUGAGAGGUUGAACGGCCACAGUGGGACUGAGACACGGCCCAGACUGCUACGGGAGGCAGCAGUGGGGGAUAUUGCACAAUGGGGGAAACCCUGAUGCAGCGACGCCGCGUGGAGGAAGAAGGUUUUCGGAUUGUAAACUCCUGUCGUUAGGGACGAUAAUGACGGUACCUAACAAGAAAGCACCGGCUAACUACGUG
rnacentral:rRNA from 1 species